rnacentral:rRNA from 1 species
AACGAACGCUGGCGGCAUGCCUAACACAUGCAAGUCGAACGAGACCUUCGGGUCUAGUGGCGCACGGGUGCGUAACGCGUGGGAACCUGCCCUUAGGUUCGGAAUAACUCCCCGAAAGGGGUGCUAAUACCGGAUAAUGUCUUCGGACCAAAGAUUUAUCGCCUUUGGAUGGGCCCGCGUUGGAUUAGCUAGUUGGUAGGGUAAAAGCCUACCAAGGCGACGAUCCAUAGCUGGUCUGAGAGGAUGAUCAGCCACACUGGGACUGAGACACGGCCCAGACUCCUACGAGAGGCAGCAGUGGGGAAUAUUGGACAAUGGGCGAAAGCCUGAUCCAGCAAUGCCGCGUGAGUGAUGAAGGCCUUAGGGUUGUAAAGCUCUUUUACCCGGGAUGAUAAUGACAGUACCUGGAGAAUAAGCUCCGGCUAACUCCGUG